rnacentral:rRNA from 1 species
AACAAACGCUGGCGGCGUGCCUAAUACAUGCAAGUCGAACGGGGAAAGCUUUCGGGUGAGUACUAGUGGCGCACGGGUGAGGAACGCGUGGGUAAUUUUCCUUGAAGUGGGGGAUAACUAGUCGAAAGAUUAGCUAAUACCGCAUAAGACCACGAAAUCUGAGGAUUUUGAGGUAAAAGGUUUUUCGCUUCAAGAUAAGCCCGCGUAAGAUUAGCUAGUUGGUGAGGUAAUGGCUCACCAAGGCGACGAUCUUUAGCGGGUCGGAGAGGAUGACCAGCCACACUGGAACUGAGACACGGUCCAGACUCCUACGGGAGGCAGCAGUAGGGAAUAUUGCACAAUGGAGGAAACUCUGAUGCAGCGACGCCGCGUGAGUGAUGAAGGACUUCGGUUCGUAAAGCUCUGUCGCAUGGGAAUAAUAAAUGAAGGUACCAUGCAAGAAAGGAUCGGCUAACUUCGUGCCAGCAGCCGCCGUAA